rnacentral:rRNA from 1 species
GAUGAACGCUGGCGGCGUGCCUAAUACAUGCAAGUCGAGCGAACAGACGAGAAGCUUGCUUCUCUGAUGUUAGCGGCGGACGGGUGAGUAACACGUGGAUAACCUACCUAUAAGACUGGGAUAACUUCGGGAAACCGGAGCUAAUACCGGAUAAUAUUUUGAACCGCAUGGUUCAAUAGUGAAAGACGGUCUUGCUAUCACUUAUAGAUGGAUCCGCGCUGCAUUAGCUAGUUGGUAAGGUAACGGCUUACCAAGGCAACGAUGCAUAGCCGACCUGAGAGGGUGAUCGGCCACACUGGAACUGAGACACGGUCCAGACUCCUACGGGAGGCAGCAGUAGGGAAUCUUCCGCAAUGGGCGAAAGCCUGACGGAGCAACGCCGCGUGAGUGAUGAAGGUCUUCGGAUCGUAAAACUCUGUUAUUAGGGAAGAACAAAUGUGUAAGUAACUGUGCACAUCUUGACGGUACCUAAUCAGAAAGCCACGGCUAACUACGUG